UACGGAGGAUGCAAGCGUUAUCCGGAUUUAUUGGGUUUAAAGGGUGCGCAGGCGGGGGAUUAAGUCGGCGGUGAAAUUUUGCAGCUCAACUGUAAAAGUGCCUUCGAAACUGGUUUCCUUGAGUGUAGAUGAAGUAGGCGGAAUUUGUGGUGUAGCGGUGAAAUGCAUAGAUAUCACGAGGAACUCCGAUUGCGCAGGCAGCUUACUAAACUACUACUGACGCUCAGGCACGAAGGCGUGGGGAUCAAACAGGAUUAGAUACCCCCGUA
rnacentral:rRNA from 1 species